CACGUAGGGGGCAAGCGUUGUCCGGAUUUAUUGGGCGUAAAGAGCUCGUAGGCGGUUUCGUAAGUCGGGUGUGAAAACUCUAGGCUCAACCUAGAGACGCCACCCGAUACUGCGAUGACUAGAGUCCGGUAGGGGAGUGUGGAAUUCCUGGUGUAGCGGUGAAAUGCGCAGAUAUCGGGAGGAACACCAAUGGCGAAGGCAGCUCGCUGGGACGGUACUGACGCUGAGACGCGAAAGCGUGGGGAGCAAACAGG
rnacentral:rRNA from 1 species